rnacentral:misc_RNA from 1 species
ACAAACUUGGUCAUUUAGAGGAAGUAAAAGUCGUAACAAGGUCUCCGUUGGUGAACCAGCGGAGGGAUCAUUAAAGAGUUGAAAAACUCCCUAAACCAUUGUGAACACACCUUCAAAUGUUGCUUCGGCGGGCUAGCACCAGUUCUCCCGGUGCCCCCGGCCCCACCUUGGGGCGGCCCGCCGGAGGUGCCGAACUCUUGAACUUUGUAUGGCCUCUCUGAGUUCUUUGUACUGAAUUAGUCAAAACUUUCAACAACGGAUCUCUUGGUUCUGGCAUCGAUGAAGAACGCAGC